rnacentral:rRNA from 1 species
GCCAGACUCCUACGGGAGGCAGCAGUGGGGGAUAUUGCACAAUGGGGGAAACCCUGAUGCAGCGACGCCGCGUGAGUGAAGAAGUAUUUCGGUAUGUAAAGCUCUAUCAGCAGGGAAGAAAAAAGACGGUACCUGACUAAGAAGCCCCGGCUAACUACGUGCCAGCAGCCGCGGUAAUACGUAGGGGGCAAGCGUUAUCCGGAUUUACUGGGUGUAAAGGGAGCGUAGACGGCAAUACAAGUCGGAAGUGAAAUACCCGGGCUCAACCUGGGAACUGCUUUGGAAACUGUAUGGCUGGAGUGCUGGAGAGGUAAGCGGAAUUCCUAGUGUAGCGGUGAAAUGCGUAGAUAUUAGGAGGAACACCAGUGGCGAAGGCGGCUUACUGGACAGUAACUGACGUUGAGGCUCGAAAGCGUGGGGAGCAAACAGGAUUAGAUACCCCGGUAGAU